rnacentral:rRNA from 1 species
CGGCAAAAGCUCAAAUUUGAAAUCUGGUACCUUUGGUGCCCGAGUUGUAAUUUGGAGAGUACCACUUUGGGACUGUACUUUGCCUAUGUUCCUUGGAACAGGACGUCAUGGAGGGUGAGAAUCCCGUGUGGCGAGGGUGUCAGUUCUUUGUAAAGGGUGCUCGAAGAGUCGAGUUGUUUGGGAAUGCAGCUCUAAGUGGGUGGUAAAUUCCAUCUAAAGCUAAAUACAGGCGAGAGACCGAUAGCGAACAAGUACAGUGAUGGAAAGAUGAAAAGAACUUUGAAAAGAGAGUGAAAAAGUACGUGAAAUUGUUGAAAGGGAAGGGCAUUUGAUCAGACAUGGUGUUUUGCGCCCCUUGCCUCUCGUGGGCUUGGGACUCUCGCAGCUCACUGGGCCAGCAUCGGUUUUGGCGGCCGGAAAAAACCUAGGGAAUGUGGCUCUGCGCCUCGGUGUAGAGUGUUAUAGCCCUGGGGAAUACGGCCAGCCGGGACCGAGGACUGCGAUACUUGUUAUCUAGGAUGCUGGCAUAAUGGUUAUAUGCCGCCCGUCUUAA